rnacentral:rRNA from 1 species
ACGUAGGAGGCGAGCGUUAUCCAGAUUUACUGGGCGUAAAGCGCGUGCAGGCGGUGCGAUAAGUCAACCGUGAAAGCUCCCGGCUAACCUGGGAGAGGUCGGAUGAGACUGCCGAGCUAGAGGGUCGUAGAGGGGUGUGGAAUUCCGGGUGGAGUGGUGAAAUGCGUAGAGAUCCGGAGGAACACCAGUGGCGAAGGCGAUUCGCUGGGCCUACUCUGACGCUCAGACGCGACAGCAUGGGGAGCGAACGG